AAGUCGUAACAAGGUUUCCGUAGGUGAACCUGCGGAAGGAUCAUUAUUGAAUUUAAUGUAGAGUUGGUUGUAGCUGGCCUAAUUAAUAAUUUGGGCAUGUGCACACCUUCUCUUUCAUCCACACACACCUGUGCACCUGUGAGACAGAGUGGAAAUUUUAAUUUAAUUUAAUUGGACCCUCUGUCUACUUAAUUCACACAAACUCUAUUUAUUAUAAAAUGAAUGUAAUUGAUGUAACGCAUCUAAUACUAAGUUUCAACAACGGAUCUCUUGGCUCUC
rnacentral:misc_RNA from 1 species